AUGGAGUCAGGGCCGUCUGGAGGCUCCAGGCCCGCGGAGCCGGGGCCUCGCUUGCGCGGCUUGCGCGGCUUGCGCGGCGCGGACGCGGCGGCCUCGGCCUCCUCGCUGAGCCGCUUCGGGGCCGAAGCUGGGUGUCGCGCGCCGGCUGUGGCGGCUGUGUUGCCGGCGGGGGGUAGCGGGGAGAGGAUGGGCGUCCCCACCCCGAAGCAGUUCUGCCCCAUCCUGGAGAGGCCGCUCAUCAGCUACACCCUGCAGGCCCUGGAGAGAGUAUCUUGGAUAAAGGACAUUAUUGUGGCAGUAACUGGAGAGAACAUGGAAACAAUGAAAGGAAUUAUUCAGAGGUACCAGCAUAAACGUAUCUCACUGGUUGAAGCUGGAGUGACCCGCCACAGGUCAAUUUUUAAUGGUCUGAAAGCCCUGGCAGAGGAUCAGCCCAACUGUAGACUCUCAAAGCCAGAAGUAGUGAUCAUCCACGAUGCUGUGAGACCAUUUGUUGAGGAAGAUGUCCUCCUUAACGUUGUCACAGCUGCUCAGGAACAUGGGGCCUCGGGAGCAAUCCGACCUCUUGUAUCUACUGUCAUCAGCCCGUCUGUAGACAGCUGCUUAGACCACUCACUGGAACGUGCCAGAUACAGGGCAAGUGAAAUGCCACAGGCCUUUCUAUUUGAUGUGAUCUAUGAAGCAUAUCAGCAGUGUAGUGACUAUGACUUGGAAUUUGGAACUGAGUGUUUGCAUUUGGCUCUAAAAUACAGUCAUAUCAAAGCAAAACUCGUGGAAGGAUCCCCUGACCUCUGGAAGGUGACCUACAAACGAGAUCUGUAUGCAGCUGAAUCGAUUAUUAAGGAAAGAAUUUCACAACAAGUUUGUGUAGUUAUGGACACAAAAGAAGAUGAAGAACAUGUAGGUCGUUGUCUUGAAGAAAUGCUAAAAACGGAAUUAAAUCAUAUAAAAGUCACAUCUGGCCAAGAUCUUCAGCAAAUCAUCGUAGAGCAAUGCUACAACUUUGUUUGUAUGAAUGUUAUGACCUCUGAUUUUGAAGAAACCCAGAGGUUACUGAAUAUGCUGGAAGAGAGUAAUCUUUCCAUUUUAUAUCCUGUUGUGGUUAUUUCAGUGCAUUUUCUGGAUUAUGAAUCAGUACCAUUUGGUCAGAAAAUGGAAAAGGUAAUGCAGAUUAGAGAGUUUGCCAAGGAAGCGAAAAAAGGAAAUAUUUUAUUAUUUGGCCUUCUCAUAUAUUUCCACAGGUAGGUAAAAAUGUUGGUAAGAUUGUAUGUUCUGUAGACUAACAGUAUUUUUUUUGGUGGGAACCUGAUUUUGUUAAAAGCAAAGAAAUAUUAAGGAAAUUUUGGGCUGGAAAAUUAUUCAUAUUCUGAAGCAGGUGGAAACUCUUGACUCUAAGGAAAAAUUAAAAAUCAAAAUGAGUGUUUUGAUUGGGGGAAAAAGAUAAAAAUUGGCAAAUAUCUCAUAUGGAGUAGCCCACAUAGAAUUGCCAGAUGUGGAAACAAAAAAAAUAGAAUCCCCGGUUAUUUGAGUUUCAAAUAAAUAAUAAUUUUGAGUACA
rnacentral:lncRNA from 1 species